GUUAAGUUCUCCUAAGCAGACCUACGCAACCCGACCUUUAUUCUCUUAUGUUUACAACUGAUACCUGCAGAUAAUUACUCUUGCAUGUACAGUUAAUUAAAAGUGAACCUUUUUCACCCAUAUUAACCUCGGACCAUCAUAACUUAGUAUUACAUGAUUAACUAUCACAUACAGCAUAUCUUUGAUAUCUACUUGUUAGAGCCACUCUACACCAUGUUUUAUGCUGCUCAAUAUUAAAUUCCUACAAUACGCAUGCAUGGUC